GAUCCUGGCUCAGGAUGAACGCUGGCGGCGUGCUCAACACAUGCAAGUCGAACGAAGCACUCUACUUGAUUUUCUUCGGAAAUGAAGAUUUUGUGACUGAGUGGCGGACGGGUGAGUAACGCGUGGGUAACCUGCCUCAUACAGGGGGAAUAACAGUUGGAAACGACUGCUAAUACCGCAUAAGCGCACAGGAUUGCAUGAUCCGGUGUGAAAAACUCCGGUGGUAUGGGAUGGACCCG
rnacentral:rRNA from 1 species